ACGGGGUGCAGCAGGCGCGAAACCUCCGCAAUGCACGCAAGUGCGACGGGGGGACCCCAAGUGCCACUCUUAACGGGGUGGCUUUUCAGGAGUGUAAAAAGCUCCUGGAAUAAGGGCUGGGCAAGACCGGUGCCAGCCGCCGCGGUAACACCGGCAGCUCGAGUGGUAGCCGCGUCUAUUGGGCCUAAAGCGUCCGUAGCCGGUCCGAUAAGUCUCUGGUGAAAGCCCACAGCUCAACUGUGGGAAUCGCUGGAGAUACUAUCGGACUUGAGGCCGGGAGAGGCUGGAGGUACUCCCAGGGUAGGGGUGAAAUCCUAUAAUCCUGGGAGGACCACCUGUGGCGAAGGCGUCCAGCUGGAACGGACCUGACGGUGAGGGACGAAAGCCAGGGGCGCGAACCGGAUUAGAUACCCGGGUAGUCCUGGCCGUAAACGAUGCGGACUUGGUGUUGGGACGGCUUUGAGCUGUCCCAGUGCCGAAGGGAAGCUGUUAAGUCCGCCGCCUGGGAAGUACGGCCGCAAGGCUGAAACUUAAAGGAAUUGGCGGGGGAG
rnacentral:rRNA from 1 species